rnacentral:rRNA from 1 species
AUGGAAUCCGGCCGCCUCAUUUUCGGUUCGGCCGCGCCGUGCCGCGCUGCCGGCGGAGGAGGAGGUCAGAUGAUGCUCUUUGGCGGCAGUGGGAGCUUCCUUGGAGGCUCGCCGGUGGUGGCCGGCGUGGAGGACGGGCGGCGUAAGAGGCCGUUCUUGACAACGGUGGACGAGGAGCUCCAACUGGAGGAAGAGAUGUACGGCUACUACGGCCUCGACGAGCACGCGCCCGAGAGGAAGCGCCGGCUGACGGCGGAGCAGGUGCGCGCUCUGGAGCGGAGCUUCGAGGAGGAGAAGCGGAAGCUGGAGCCGGAGCGGAAGAGCGAGCUAGCGCGGCGGCUGGGAAUCGCGCCGCGACAGGUGGCCGUGUGGUUCCAGAACCGCCGCGCGCGCUGGAAGGCGAAGCAGCUCGAGCAGGACUUCGAUGCCCUCAGGGCCGCCCACGACGAGCUGCUCGCCGGACGAGACGCCCUCCUCGCCGACAACCACCGACUACGAUCGCAGGUGACAUCACUGACCGAGAAACUGCAAGCCAAGGAGUCGUCGGAGCCAGAGGGGCCAACCGCCGUGUCAGGCAGGACAGAUGCCGGUGUCCCAGCCGUUGAGCCGAAAGAAGGCUACGCCGCCUGCGAUGGCGCGGCGGGGCUGCUGGCCGAUUUCGCCGGGGGAGCCAACGACAGCCCGGAGUCCAACUCCUACUUGGCCGACGCGCGCUCGCCUCCGUCGUCCUCGGACGACGACUGCGCCGGAGCGGUCGGCGGCGAGCUGAACAGCUGCGGCUUCUUCCUCCCCGAGUACGCCAUGCUCGACGUCGCGGCUGCGGAGCGCGGGAGCGUCCAACAAGGGGAGGAGGAAGAGGAGGAGGCGCAGCGCAAGUACUGGGCGUGGUUCUGGAGCUGA